UAGUUUGAUCCUGGCUCAGGACGAACGCUGGCGGCGUGCUUAACACAUGCAAGUCGAACGGUGAAGGGGCCUUCGGGCCCCGGAUCAGUGGCGAACGGGUGAGUAACACGUGGGCAACCUGCCCCUAGCUCCGGAAUAACCCCGGGAAACCGAGGCUAAUACCGGAUACGACCCUGCGCGGCAUCUCGCGGGGUGGAAAGUUUUUCGGCUAGGGAUGGGCCCGCGGCCUAUCAGCCUGUUGGUGGGGUAAUGGCCUACCAAGGCGACAACGGGUAGCCGGCCUGAGAGGGUGACCGGCCACACUGGGACUGAGACACGGCCCAGACUCCUACGGGAGGCAGCAGUGGGGAAUAUUGCGCAAUGGGCGAAAGCCUGACGCAGCGACGCCGCGUGAGGGAUGACGGCCUUCGGGUUGUAAACCUCUUUCGGUAGGGAUGAAGCCUUCGGGUGACAGUACCUGCAGAAGAAGCACCGGCUAACUACGUGCCAGCAGCCGCGGUAACACGUAGGGUGCGAGCGUUGUCCGGAAUUAUUGGGCGUAAAGAGCUCGUAGGCGGUCCGUCACGUCGGAUGUGAAAUUCCAGGGCUCAACCCUGGACCUGCAUUCGAUACGGGCGGACUAGAGUUCGGUAGGGGAGACUGGAAUUCCUGGUGUAGCGGUGAAAUGCGCAGAUAUCAGGAGGAACACCGGUGGCGAAGGCGGGUCUCUGGGCCGAUACUGA
rnacentral:rRNA from 1 species